CGACUACGAGUUUGAUCCUGGCUCAGAUUGAACGCUGGCGGCAUGCCUAACACAUGCAAGUCGAACGGCAGCACGGCAGUAGCAAUACUGUGGGUGGCGAGUGGCGGACGGGUGAGGAAUACGUCGGAAUCUGCCCAAUCGUGGGGGAUAACUAACCGAAAGGUUAGCUAAUACCGCAUACGACCGAGAGGUGAAAGCGGGGGACCGCAAGGCCUCGCGCGAUUGGAUGAGCCGACGUCGGAUUAGCUAGUUGGUGGGGUAAAGGCCCACCAAGGCGACGAUCUGUAGCGGGUCUGAGAGGAUGAUCCGCCACACUGGGACUGAGACACGGCCCAGACUCCUACGGGAGGCAGCAGUGGGGAAUUUGGACAAUGGGCGCAAGCCUGAUCCAGCCAUGCCGCGUGCGGGACGAAGGCCUUCGGGUUGUAAACCGCUUUCAGCCGGAAAGAAAUCGCCGUUUUAAUACAGACGGUGGAUGACGGUACCGGAAGAAGAAGCACCGGCUAACUACGUG
rnacentral:rRNA from 1 species